rnacentral:rRNA from 1 species
CGCUGGCGGCACGCCUAACACAUGCAAGUCGAACGAAGUAGCAAUACUUAGUGGCAGACGGGUGAGUAACAUGUGGGUAUCUGCCCUUUGGCCUGGAAUAACACGAGGAAACUUGUGCUAAUACCGGAUAAGUCUUUACGGAGAAAGCUUUAUGCACCAUUGGAUGAGCCCGCACUUGAUUAGUUUGUUGGUAGGGUAAUGGCCUACCAAGACUGUGAUCAAUAGCUGAUUUGAGAGGAUGAUCAGCCACAUUGGGACUGAGACACGGCCCAAACUCCUACGGGAGGCAGCAGUGGGGAAUCUUGCACAAUGGAGGAAACUCUGAUGCAGCGAUGCCGCGUGAGUGAAGAAGGCCCUUGGGUUGUAAAGCUCUUUCGUCGGGGAAGAAAAUGACUGUACCCGAAUAAGAAGGUCCGGCUAACUUCGUGCCAGCAGCCGCGGUAAUACGAAGGGACCUAGCGUAGUUCGGAAUUACUGGGCUUAAAGAGUUCGUAGGUGGUUGAAAAAGUUGGUGGUGAAAUCCCAGAGCUUAACUCUGGAACUGCCAUCAAAACUUUUCAGCUAGAGUAUGAUAGAGGAAAGCAGAAUUUCUAGUGUAGAGGUGAAAUUCGUAGAUAUUAGAAAGAAUACCAAUUGCGAAGGCAGCUUUCUGGAUCAUUACUGACACUGAGGAACGAAAGCAUGGGUAGCGAAGAGGAUUAGAUACCCUCGUAGUCCAUGCCGUAAACGAUGUGUGUUAGACGUUGGAAAUUUAUUUUCAGUGUCGCAGCGAAAGCGAUAAACACACCGCCUGGGGAGUACGACCGCA